CAGAGACCCAGAGAGAGCACCCUGGUGCUGGCUCUGGAGGGGUUAAGAACAAGUCCUGGAGUGGAUAACUCCUGGAGUGGAUAAUGGAGCCGAGUAACCCCAGCAAAGUGAAGCCUCAGCUUGAGCUGGAGGAAGAUGACAGGAAGAACAAGGCAGCAUCUGCGGACCUCCUCUCCAGAGGACACAACUGAAGUCCAGGAAGGUUGACUUGCCAGUGAUCAUUGGGGUGAGGUUCUGAUGACAAGAGCUUUUCCAGACAUAUGAUCAAAGAAGGAGAUGGGACACAAAGGCCUGGGAUGUGGCUAGAUCCUCAACAUACGCCAGACCCUCAGUGCCAGAGUGAUUGCACGCUUUCUAGGGGCUCUACCUGGGUUAAGGAUUCUGGGAGAUGCAGUCCAAGGGUUCAGCAUUUUCUAUUUACACACAACUAAGAGAGAGACCGAGAAAAUUGGAGACAAUCUCAGAAGAAGGGAAGGCAGUAGAAUUAAAGGGACUUCUGGAUAAAGCAAAUCCUCAGCUAUAAAUGCAACUUAUUCAUAUUUUCUUUUUUAUUGUUACUCCUUCAUUUUAUUUUUUAAUAGGAUUUAUUUCCAGGAAUCUCAGCCUCUCCUUC